GAUCAUGGCUCAGAUUGAACGCUGGCGGCAUGCCUUACACAUGCAAGUCGAACGGCAGCACGGGGGCAACCCUGGUGGCGAGUGGCGAACGGGUGAGUAACAUAUCGGAACAUACCCUAGAGUGGGGGAUAACGUAGCGAAAGUUACGCUAAUACCGCAUACGAUCUAAGGAUGAAAGUGGGGGGAUCUUCGGACCUCAUGCUCAUGGAGUGGCCGAUAUCUGAUUAGCUAGUUGGUGAGGUAAAGGCUCACCAAGGCGACGAUCAGUAGCUGGUUUGAGAGAACGACCAGCCACACUGGAACUGAGACACGGUCCAGACUCCUACGGGAGGCAGCAGUGGGGAAUUUUGGACAAUGGGGGCAACCCCGAUCCAGCAAUGCCGCGUGAGUGAAGAAGGCCUUCGGGUUGUAAAGCUCUUUUGUCAGGGAAGAAACGGUGAGUUCUAAUACAGCUUGCUAAUGACGGUACCUGAAGAAUAAGCACCGGCUAACUACGUG
rnacentral:rRNA from 1 species